UUUCUAUUCUUACCAAAAUUAUCACCCUUAGUUAUAGUAUAACCUUUUAUUUCUAUUAACCUUGAUAAAUUAAAACUUUAAAUUAUGAAUAGUAGAAGAAACGGAUAACAUAGAAAAAUUCAACUUUAUACGCGUCAUAAUUAAAAUCAAUUAAGAUACAAAAUACGAGCAUUUUUAACCUUAAAACUAGGGAUAAACCGAUGCAUCGGAAUCGGCUCAAUAAUGACCAUUCCACCAAUACUUAUGCAUAAUUAUUUAUAUCGAUAAUUAUGACUUGUUUGAGCUCUUUUUUUGAGAGAAAGUUAUUGUACAAAUCAAAAAAAUAGUUUAACUAGACGACGUAACUCAGACAAAUUCUAAAAAAACAAGGGAAGGACUAUAGAAAAGUCCAGGUUUAUUCAAGAAAUAUACUAAAAAGUUCAAAUUUAGAAAUAACUACAUUUUUAGUGGCCCAUAUAUUUGAAUUGUAUCAUGAGUUUUUCAAAAAGCCCGUAACGGUAGGUGUUGGGUCGAGCGGUUUACUCUGAAACCAGUAAGUAACUUUUUGACAAAAUAUUUCUUUUUUAUGUUUUUUGUAUGACAUUGUUUAUAACAGAAUUGAAGUGGAGUCUAUAUUUUCUGAUUUAGGUUCGUAAUCAGUAUCCGUCCUGGGCCCAUUAGAAAAGACGCAAGUCCGUACUCGACACCUGGUUUAUACAUAUUUCAAUUCCUGGGCCAAGCAUAUAAAACUCAGUUAGGAACUGUAGACAGUUCAAGAAUAUUUGAUCACGUGUGGGCCGAACCAGAAAAAUAAUAGAAAAUAGUCUAUUGCCAGGGUCGCAAGUGUUAUUUUUUAUCAGUGAGGCAGUUGAAAUUAGACAGAGGCCGAGGGGUGAGGAGACUGACUCUUUAAAUAUCUAAAAAACUCCCUAAUAUGUGCCAACCAGAAAAUAAUUGACUCCUGAGCACAGAGACUAAUCAAGCUUUUAAAACUUAAAUUUAUCAUCAACUAAUUAUAAUUGAUAAUUUUUUUGCCCCCUAUCCGUAAUUAAUAAAAAGUUAAGCAAUUAAAAAAGUAAACAAUUUUGUUUUUUGAAAUUUCUUCAUAGAUAAUAAAGAAUCUGAAUCGUCUAUACAGAAGAAUUGGAACCAGCAUUGACUGAAAAUUUGGUAUCGGUACAUCCUUACUUGAAACAUAAAUAAAUUCUUGAGGUAUGUUGGCUUUAUAGAAGCUACAAAGUAAUCAUUCCUAUAUAAAAAGUAUCGUGACUUUCGUGAGAAGAAAUGGUGGUCACCUUUUCAACUACGUAUCAAGGAGUAAUUCAUAAAUGGACAAUAGAGCGUUUUCACGUGACAGCACAAUUUUUUUUUCGUCAAUUUUGGAUGCCUAAACAACGAAAUUUUAUAACAAUGAAAACCUUUUUUCCAUUAAACUAGUUAA
rnacentral:lncRNA from 1 species